UACGGAGGGGGCGAGCGUUAUUCGGAAUUAUUGGGCGUAAAGCGCGCGUAGGCGGAUUUGCAAGUCGGGGGUGAAAGCCCGAGGCUCAACCUCGGAACUGCCCUCGAUACUGCAAAUCUCGAGUCCGAGAGAGGUGAGUGGAAUUCCUAGUGUAGAGGUGAAAUUCGUAGAUAUUAGGAAGAACACCAGUGGCGAAGGCGGCUCACUGGCUCGGUACUGACGCUGAGGCGCGAAAGCGUGGGGAGCAAACAGG
rnacentral:rRNA from 1 species